rnacentral:lncRNA from 1 species
CAGUUGUUUUGCAUAUAAACUCUCACUAGGUGGCAGUGCACUUCUAUGCAUGCAAAUCACUUCGAGUUUCCCUGUGCUGUGUUUGCACUCGGUGUUUGAAGAGAUAAAUCAGUGAGGAUUUGCACCACCUCUCUGUGCAUCUGUUGCUGUUUGAUGCAGUUGAUUCUUCUGCCUUUGUGCUCCUUCGCCCCUUCGCCUUCUUCAUCAGAGCAGCAGCUUCGCGUAGACCCCCACCCCUUCAAUUAGACUGAGAGCUCUUUGAGUUAAAGUAAAACUAAUGAUGCUCAUUUCCAGCAGCACACCACAGCAGUUUGGUCUCCAUUUCUGGCAUUCGGGAUUUGAUUUUGAUGAAACGGGCUCAAAUGUUUCGUUUUUGGUGACUGUAGACAAAACCAGGAAGGGAACAGGAGAAUGAGGAGCCGUGGCCUGCAGGUACUUGCAGUAUGAGACGAGGCUCACGCCUUGGCCAAAUUUCCCCUAAAAACGAUGCUCUUGAAUUUAGUAGCACUGACAGGUUGGAAAAAAAAGGUCAGCUAAAAAGAAGCUAAAAUGAAUAAAUCAUAUUCACUUACUUCAAAGGUUUUAUAGUGUCAUUUGUGGAGCUUUGGACCUGAAUGUAAAUGAGACCCACAGACUAAUGCAUGAGGUCUGACAGACAUAAAAGAAAUGUUAUUAAGAGAGAACAACGCUGAAAUCAAUAGAGUGAACUUGAAACACGUUGGAAUACAUUUGCAACAAUGUGAUAAUUAGUGCACCGAGCUCAUAUCUGCAGCCUGAAAUCCCUUCAUUAUUGUCCGCAUCAUUUCUGAGAUCUUUUUCAAAACUAUAAUGGUCGGAUGAGUCUUCAGAUGAGAGAUGAGAUGAGUUCAGUUGCGGUGCAUAAACGGUUUUGUUUUUGAUAUGCAGAGAGGGAGCAUUGAGGCCUGCUAGCGUUACAAAGCUCACAGCAGCAGCCUCAUUGUGUGUGAAAUUAUCAUAAACUCGUGCUACCUUCAGAGUCCUGAAAGAUCAGGCUUUGAGCAGUCGCUAAGAGCUUCACUUUAUGGGAAAUGCAAAUGGCUGUGUCUGCAAAUUGGAUUCUCAUAAAAAUAAAAUAGAAGAAGUGUCGAAAAACUGGCAAACACUUUGACACCAAUAAAAGAUGACAGUCUGCAGUGGUGAAACUAACAGCUCGGGCUACACAACGGUAUCAACAAACAUUUGAAAACUGUAAAACCUGAGGAGCUUUAUGUAUUACUACGUGUUCUCCAUUAAGGCCUGCCUCGGCUGAGGAGAGGCCAGCGAGCGGCUGGCAUCUUCUGCUGAUUGAUAUACUACAGCGAACCAUAUGGACACUGUGUUAAUCGAAUGAAGGAGACAUCUGUGAGAUG